rnacentral:rRNA from 1 species
AGCUCCAAUAGCGUAUAUUAAAGUUGUUGCGGUUAAAAAGCUCGUAGUUGGAUUUCGCUCGAGAAUUCGCGGUCCAUCUUUUGGAUGAGUAUCUGUGUAAGUCUUGGGCUCCUCUCGAAAAACGUUUCUGCGCUUGAUUGCGUGGUGCGGGGUUCGGGACUUUUACUUUGAGGAAAUUAGAGUGUUCACGGCAGGCAUUCGCCUUGAAUAUAUUAGCAUGGAAUAAUAAUAUAGGGUCUCGGUUCUAUUUUGUUGGUUUCUAGAGCUGAGAUAAUGAUUAAUAGGGACAAUUGGGGGCAUUCGUAUUGACGAGUCAGAGGUGAAAUUCUUGGAUUUCGUCACGACGAACUACUGCGAAAGCAUUUGCCAAGGAUGUUUUCA